GUUUAUUGUUGAUCCCCAUGAAACACAGGUGUUAGCAAACUAAGAAAACAACUGAAACCACCAAAAAACAAGAGGAGCCUGAUGUUACACGUUUGAGAAGAGAAAGAGACAUGUAUCCCUUACUCUCUUCCUUAUUAGGUUUGGAAUUGAAAUUAGGAACUUUUUUAGGCUGCAUCUUUAAUUCUUUUCUUAAAUCUUUUAUGCUAUUUUUCAUGUUUGUUGAUUAUAAUUAAAAUUUUAAAAAAUAUGUUCAGUUUUUUAGGACUGGCAACGGCAACAGUCCACGAGGUCAUUAUCCAAUUGAAGGAUUUAGAUUUAUUCUUGUUUUCGCUAUAGGGACUUAGAGUGUAGUCAGUCACACAAUUUUAUUCUUAAUGAUAUCUGCCAUUAGAAAAGCACUUGGAGUAACGAGAGCAGGUGAAAGUGAUACCACUCAAUUUGCAGUUUGCAUUUCACUGAGUGGAAGUGUAAAAGCCAGAAAAUUAUUUAUCAACACCCACAUAUUAAUUUGAAGUAUCGUUUGUAUUAGGAUUCUAUCCAUUAUUUUCAGCUUUUAUUUUUUGGCUGGAGCUUUGCCAAGAAGUUGUUUGGAGCUGAUUAUUAGAAUAUUUAAAAAGAAAAAAAUUAAUGCUUCAUAAUCUCUAUUUAGCAUUUAUUUUGCUGUUUCUUUUAGGUUCUGGGAUAGAAAGAAUUAGAAUGCAUUUUUAUUUCAAUUUUAAAGUUUCAAAUUUUGUGUCGAUCUGAGAAAAUCUUUAUGAUAAUUUCCUUUAUAUAUGAGAAGCCCUCUAAUCUGCUGUGAAUGAAACCAUAGUUAAUGGAGGUGUAACCUUUUUGUCCUCGAAUUCUUGUGAAUGAGAUGAAAAAUUUAAGGAGCUGUUAGAGAAUGCAUAGAAGAUGCAUGAUACAGCUUUGGCUAUGUAUUGGAGUAAUUACAUACUUUGUUGUGGUUAUGAUUUUGGAAGCUACUGUUAAAAGAGAUGAUAAUAUGUACAACAGGGAGGCAAAAUGAAGAAAAAGCCAAGCAAUACUUUAUACGUUUGAAGAAACUAACAACAUAGCUAAGUAAUGGCAGCUCUACUUACCAUCAAUUAGCAACACAAAUAGUGUGACAUAAAGUUUUCACUUCUCUGGAAUUUACUAUUGGUAAACUACAGGUAAGUUAGAUUUGUUGUUACGCAAGUUACUCCUUGGUCGAAAAAUAAAAAUACGCCAUGAUAUAUCACAUGUAAUGACGUUGAGAUUGCUUUGUGCAAUAUUUAUGCAUCUUGAGCUACUUAUCUUGGAUGAUUCGUUAUUAUGUCAUUCAUAUGCUUGGUUGAAACAGAGCAGGAGGUAGCACUUGAGGGCUUUGCCGGAGUAGUUCGUAUGGAACCUGAGAAGGCUGAGUGGUAAGGGGUUUAUUAAGUUAAUAAACUCCUUAUCAAAAAAAGUAUGAUAGCUGUGUGGCUGCGAUUAUGAUCUUAGAGGUACUUCCAUAGGUACUCUAACUGUCCUCGGUAAUCUCGAACUCCACCUUCUCGAUUUUGACGGAGAAAAAACGCAAGCCCUCAGUUAGAGUAAAUGGAGAUCACAAGCGUCAGGCUUAAGAGGUGGAAAGAGAGUGUUGAAGAAGAAUAAGAGGACUGUACGUCCAGCUUUUAAACUCAAGGACACAAGGGGAAUUUCUUGCCGAUAAUUCAGGGGGAUGUCCAGUUUUGGUGGCUUAACAUGCAAUCAUAUA